AGUUAAUUCAUGAUACCGUAGUGGAUACCAGUGUGGUGUUUCCCCAUAAGAUGGGUCAUCCCUACAAGCGUGCCCUUCGAAAUCUAGCCUCAGAAAUCCUAAAGAAAAUUAUCCAAAAUGAUGUGUCUGGCCAUGACAGUGCAGAGGAUGCAGUGACCUGUAUGCACCUUAUGCAGUGGAAGAUAAAAGAGGACUUGAAGAGAAUUAAAAAAUGAAUAAAAAUGUAUCAAGAUGUGAAUCAAUUCAUUUUACUACAUAGCGGUAUUACAGGAGAGUAAAGAUGUCAAGUUUGAUAUACAAUUUUUUGUUAAAAGUAUUGUUUUUACUCAUAUAUGAAAUUAAUGUUACAUGUUUACACAUGGUUGUUUGUAACUAUAUAAUCUAGGAAAUUUAUUACAUGUAAAGUCCAAUCUGGGCAAAUUUGGUUUUCUUCUUUCUUUUUUAGUCCAUGAAAAAAUAAAAAUUGCUAGUUUUUCUACUUAACAGAUAUUAGGGUUACAGAAUCUUUUGCAAUGGUUAUUAAGCAAUUGCCAAAAGUUCUGGGAUUUGAAGCAAUAAGGAGUUUCACUUUGUAUCAGUCACAUUAUAAAUAAUCAAAGAUUUUUGUUUUUAAAAGAACAGCAACUUUAUUAAGAAUUACAGUGUAACAAGUUUAUAACUUUUGCAGUCUGUAGAAAGAAUGGAAAAAAGUUCCACAAAAAAUCAUUUUGAUGAAUGAAACAGAUGAAGUACUCACACAUUGGAAAUUAAAGCAUUCCUUUAUAUGGUAUGUAAUGUGUAUACUGUAUAGUUUGUGGCAGCUACAUUCAUAUUUGAUAUGUUUUUUUUGCAACUUUAGCAUCAUGUAUCUUAAACCAAAGGAUGUAAUUUUACUCUAUUUAAUUUUUCUUUAGAAUAAGAUUCAGUGUUUACUGUUUAUGUCUUUGAUACUGUAACCAAUGUAAUCCCGAAAGCCUGACUAAUUGUACAGACAUACAUGUCUGCCUCAAACCCAUGCACUGAUGAACAGAAGUCCGCAUUCAAAAUUAGCAACAAUUUUUUUUUUUUCUCUCUCUCAUGUGUUAUAUGGUUUUAUUUCAAGAUAUAUCAAAUUAUUUUUACUUUGGUCAAAUUCAAAGAAGGAUCUGAUUUUUAUUUCACUUCCAGGUUGAAGAUAAAUCAAUAUGGGGUUGGAAUUACAAUUUGAAAAGAAGUGAGAUUUAACUUAAUUUAAAGAGAGACUGGAAGAGUGAAAUUAGAAAAGGGAGUAGGAAAGAGUGAGGAGAGAAAAGCAGAGAGCAGUAAAAAAAAUUAUAAUAAAAGAGCCUAGAUAAAGUCAAUGAGAGGCAUUUACAUAAAAUAAAGCAAACACCAAGGGUAUUUUACAGAAAUCAAGUGGAAGAGGAAGAAGGAAAGAUCCGGAUUAUUAAUGAAUAAGUGAUUGUAUGAAAGCAGGUGAUAUUGCAAUCUUGUAUGGUUUCUGAUCUUGCAUGGAAGCAACAUUACUUGGCAAUGAAGCACCAGAUAUGGGUGAUUUCUCUCUUGAAAAUGUAAAAUAUCUUUGGCUCUAGAAGCAUGUGCCUGAUAUAACUAAGGUUAUUUUUUGGUUGAAUUAAAGCAGGGUAAGUCUUUUUGUUCUUGUUAGAAUGGUCAUGUUAGUGUCCAUAUAUGUAGAAAUAGUUCACUGGGAAAAUUGAUUGUUAACAGAGCAUUCAAGCUUAUUUUAUUUAUGUUAUUAAAUUUUCAGCUUGAAUACAUUUUCUUUUAUCAUAUUUCUCUAAUAGCAUUUAUUAAGAUGAUGAGUCACCAUGACUGGAAGAGAGAAUGGCAGAAAUGAGGAUUAGUAGCAACUUGAGUUAUCACACUGUCAUGUUAUCAAGUAAAUGCAGUAGAAAUUUGUUCUUCUAAUUUUACAAAACAAAAUUUGGUUUUUGAUUGCUUUACCACAGCUAUGUAAAGACAUGGGUGAUAUUUUUUUAAAAGCAAGAAUUAUCUGAGAAAUUCAGUUGAAACAAACAAAAUCACAGUAUAUAUAGGUAAUAAACAUAACUUAAGCAAGAUGAGAUAUUAAAGAAGGUAACCAAUUUGGAAACAUCAGAUUUUUUUCUGUAUACUGAUCUACUUUCCAUUUCUGUUUGUUUAAUAUAACAUUAUUUUGCUGUUGAUCAGGAAAUAUGAAUAUCAUUGAAUCCUAAAAACAGUUAGCGUAAUUAUAUCAAAUAGUUUAGAAGGCACCUUAAUUAUGCUAUUUUACAGUGCAUUAUGUUUAGGUAAUUAUGAAUGUUUUAGAAAGUUCAACAAAGGGCAUUGAGUAAAGAGUUGUAAUUGAUUUUUUUUGUGUUAGGGGGGAAAAUUUCCCUUUCUUUAAUCUUAUCUACAUGGUUGAUAUGGUGCUGACUCGUAGUUUCCCUUAAUCAGGUAUCUCCCCCCCCCCCAUCAAGUAUUUCAGGUUUUGGAAGUAUGAAACAUGCUGUAAUAAGGUUCUACUGCAGAUUUAAUGAAAGAUAAAACAUCACAAGUGUUGGAAGAUACAAGUAUUAAUUUGUAAUGAUGAAUGUAAGGAGUGGUUUGAGCACUUAAUGUAAGGUGUCAGUUGAAUGCUACAUAUACGGGAUACCAAAUCAUAGCUUUUACUACAUGAUACAUUAACAAUGGUACAAACAGGAUGUACAUUCUUUCAUUCUUAUUAUUUUUCUAUUUGAAUAGUACACAUUUAGCUAUAUUGGUUCCCUAGCUCUAGUCAAACUACUGUGCUUCUUUGUGAAUUAUUUCAACAGCAAUAAAAUGUAAAAGCUCCAUUCUAUGGGGAAAAAAUCUUA